ACAUGUGGGAUCUGAAGGCCAUU
rnacentral:piRNA from 1 species